UCGAGCCGCGAUCCACCACCGCCCCCCUGCUUCCAUCCGCCGCCGCCCCUUGCUUCCAGCGCUGGCCCUCUUCCCCAGCGUGCCACUAGGCCCUCCCCCAUCGCCAUCUUCAACGCGCCGCCGUCGCUAGCCCUCUGCCCAACGCGCCGGGGGCCCUUCACGUCCCAUCUCCGGCGACAAGCCGCCCCCGCUGGACCCCGAGCGCGGCCGCCCCUCCGACUAUGCUGAGUACGUCAGUCUGUCAGUUCGCCGGUGGGAACCGCAAGUCAGGACCCCAUCUUCCACCCCGCCUCCCACCUCUCGGCCGUCGCGCGCCUCCCACCCUCCGACCGCUGCGCGCCUCCCUUCCCCGUCCGCCGCACGCCUCCCACCUUCGGGCCGCCGCGCGCCUCCCUUCCCCUGCCGCCGCGCACUGUCGAUGGCGGCAUGCCUCAUUUCAUCGCUCCAUGGAUCGGUGCUCACCUCGAAGGCGCUGUGGACACAGUGGUGCUACUGCAUCGCCUCCUUCCCGUGCUUACAGGUUGGCCUCCUCCUUAGCCCCUUCUGCCCCGAGGAGGACAACAUCCAGCACAGACCGUUCACCGCCACUACCCCGGGCAGUUCACCACUGUCACCCUCGGCCAUUCACCCCUGCUCCCGACUUCCCUUCCAUUCCUCAGUUCAAUGGAUUCCAAAAAGGAAACAAUUGUGGAUGGGUGAUGAAUCAACUUCCUGUACUAUUGUGCCAUGAGCAUUGGACAACCCCGACCACCGGCACCACUGCUUCCCGACCUCCUGCUUGCAUCGCCAUCUCCUGGUGGGGCUCUGCCACCGGAGCACCCUGGCCGUUCACAGCCACCACUCCAGGCUGUUCAACGCCACCACCCCAGGCCGUUCAUUGCCAGCAGCACCCUGGAUCCCACCCCUCACCCUAGGAGUUUCAGUUAUCGAGCCUGGGGAUGUUUUUUCAUUUGACAUACUUCAAGUAUUUUGUGGGGUACAUCCAACGACAAUGAGCAGGCGACAAGUGUAUUGAUGAGCAGCGGGACGGUGGCAUGGAUCAGUUGAGUAGGUGUGCGUAGUUCAAGUUCACCAGUAUUUGUAAAUGCUGGUAGCAAUACUAGUAUUUACAAAUUUGUAACCUAAGAACUCAGCUUGCAUCUCGUUACUUCUAUGGAAGAACUGACGUAGUAAUAUUAUUGGACCAACCACUAACUUGAGAAUUAGACAUGGUGCUCAGUGUAUUCUCUCAAUCUUGGUUGUUCUUGCAGUGCUUAUAAGCUUGAAAACUUUGAUGAAUCCAGCCCGAACUGAAUCAUGUCGGUGAGUCAGGCGCUGGGCCAACCACUGUCAUUUGUCUACCUCCUUCCCGGUGAGCCCAUGCUCUUCUGCUCUUGACGCUUGAGCCGCCUGCAAUUCUUUUCUCUGUUCAAAAAUUCCCAAAGCAUCAGCAAUUCUUUUCUCUGUUCAAAAAUUCCCAAAGCAUCAGUACUUUGUAUCUGGAUACACCAUGUUUCUGCAAAUUUCCAUUAUGCUUGUAUGUACAAAAUGUGUGCAUUUACUACUUUUGAUUUGUUGUAGUGCAGAGAAGUUACCUUAUUGCAGGCUGACCUGGAGGUGGCUCCUCCAUGUCGACACAAUUACAGGACCAACGUGCUACUGACCACGCAAGCUUCCUCAAGGAGCUCGUGCCCAACGAUACUAAAAGGAAAAACUGCUCCAGUUUUGAACUACUUAUUCAGUCAUGCUAUUACUGAGUGAAAAAUUGAGUGAAAGUGUAUUGCAAUUGAUCUCUCUUAGACCCUGUCAA